GAUGAAGAACGCAGCGAAAUGCGAUACUUGGUGUGAUUUGCAGAAUCCCGUGAACCAUCGAGUCUUUGAACGCAAGUUGCGCCCGAAGCCAUUAGGCCGAGGGCACGCCUGCCUGGGCGUCACACGUCGUUGCCCCCCCAUCUACUCCUUCGGGAUUGCGGGGGGCGGAUGAUGGCCUCCCGUGCGCCUCGUCGCGCGGUUGGCAUAAAUGCCAAGUCCUCGGCGACGCACGCCACGACAAUCGGUGGUUGCGAAACCUCGGUUGCCCGUCGUGUGCGGUCGUCGCGCAUCGAGGGCUCGAAAAAAUUGCCGGGCUCCGGCUCGGCUUUCAACGCGACCCCAGGUCAGGCGGGGUUACCCGCUGAAUUUAAGCAUAUCAAUAAGCGGAGGA
rnacentral:misc_RNA from 1 species